GACGAACGCUGGCGGCGUGCUUAACACAUGCAAGUCGAACGGAAAGGCCCUGCUUUUGUGGGGUGCUCGAGUGGCGAACGGGUGAGUAACACGUGAGUAACCUGCCCUUGACUUUGGGAUAACUUCAGGAAACUGGGGCUAAUACCGGAUAGGAGCUCCUGCUGCAUGGUGGGGGUUGGAAAGUUUCGGCGGUUGGGGAUGGACUCGCGGCUUAUCAGCUUGUUGGUGGGGUAGUGGCUUACCAAGGCUUUGACGGGUAGCCGGCCUGAGAGGGUGACCGGCCACAUUGGGACUGAGAUACGGCCCAGACUCCUACGGGAGGCAGCAGUGGGGAAUAGUGCACAAUGGGCGGAAGCCUGAUGCAGCAACGCCGCGUGCGGGAUGACGGCCUUCGGGUUGUAAACCGCUUUCGCCUGUGACGAAGCGUGAGACGGUAAUGGGUAAAGAAGCACCGGCUAACUACGUG
rnacentral:rRNA from 1 species